ACCGCCCCUUCGCACAGGUUGAGCUGGAGGAGGCGGGGCACUGCUGCUAGGCAACCGAGGGAGGAGGGCGGGGCCCGGAGGCUCGGCUUUGUUGCCCGGCAACCGAGGGCAAGCGCGGCCUAGGAGGAUCCCGGACCAGGACUACGGGGGAGUAAUAAACACUAAUAAUAACCACCAAUUUCUUCUUAACUGCAAACAAGAAUGACAGAAUUGUGGUUCUGGAAGAGGACCAUAUCAAGCUAUGGGCCCUGCACUCAGACUUCCUAGUUUGCACAGUUUCUGGACAACAUACACGACGAUGCUUCCCUGCAGCAAUGGCACAUGGAAGACAGCACCUUCUUGGAAGAGCUUCCUUUCCUAUCCUCACUGGCACAAGAUUUUGCAGCUGUUUCUACUUUGUUGUUGUUAGCGUGAAUAUUUCUAAGUUCUGGACAAAAAGAUCAGACAGGUCCCCUGCUGUAAUGACUUAUAAUGUAAUAGCCAUGAGGAAAAUAAGCCAAUUCAGAUACAAACUCUUACAUAAUGUUUGCAUAAUGACCAGCUGGAAAGGCGGCUGGUUGGAGGAGCCAAAUUGCAAUUGGUCGCAACCAAAGGGAUGAGUUAUUUUUGUAUGGAAGACAGGAAAUCAAACCGAACCUGAAUGCAAAUCCAAAAAGACACACCCCGCCUCAAGCAAACCAGAUCUGCAAUGGAACCAAAAAUCUUCUGGUUUCCUUCAAGGGCAGCCCUAGCCAAACUCUUAAACACAAGAUGCACGAACUGCUUCAAAAUAAGUGGCCCUGGAAUCAAGCCCUCAGUUUUCAGUUAUCAUUCUAUGGAGUGACACUGCAAGCAAAAGAAUUUGAUAUGGUUCUGCAGGAAGGGUAUCGACUUGAAAGAGUCUGAACUAAUUACUGAACUACUUUUGAAAGGUCGUGUCUGAACCAGAGAAUUCAGAAGCCCUGGUGAGUCUGAACAGCAGUGCAACUCCCCUACAAUCUGGUGCACACGGACCCCACCACUGUGCACAGUGUGAUUUGAGUAACUGGUGACUCCACUUCUGUGUAAACAUGCAGAGGAGUGCACAGCACAUCAUGCAUCUGAAAGAGGCAUGAUGGCCCAGAAAGGUUACCAGCUCAGUGAGCACUGAUGCCUAUCUGACACAGAGAUAAGGAGGCAGCAGCUCUUAAUUAUUAUUAAUUUACAGUGCUCCAAAAGAUCAUUUUCACAAUGUGCUGGAUAUGUAAAUUAAAUUUUAAUGUCUGA